UAACCACUCAAGCCUUCGCUUGGUAUUGGGGUUCGCGAUCCGCGGCCCCUAAAAUCAGUGGCGGUGCUUGUAAGCUCUACGCGUAGUAAUCUUUCUCGCGACGGACCCUUACGAGUGACUUGCCAACAACCCCCAAUUUUUUCA
rnacentral:misc_RNA from 1 species